UGUUCUUUAUAUAUUCUUCUUGUUCGGUAUAAAGAGGAUACAAACGGUUUCACAGAAUCAGGUCUUUGCUUUGACUUUGCUUAUCUACACAUCUAAAGGAAGAUCAUGAAGAUACAGGCUCUUGUGUUAGUGCUGGCUCUGGUGUUGUGCUGUGAAUCAAGCAUCGUGCCCACAGACAACCCUUGCCUUAAGAAGACUUGUCGCCAUGGGAAAACAUGCAUUUUGGUUUCCGUUGAGUGCUUAUACCCACCAUGCCCCCAGAUUGCUAAAUGUGUUAAACCUCAUCAAAAGGGAUAAUUUUUUUAAGAGCUGAAGCAGGUUCAUCACGUGACCUUCGUUCCGGGACGACUGACUGUGAAAUCGCUAUUCAAAAUGAGCUGCAAUAAAAUUCACUCAAAGUUUUAAAAAAUUCAAUGCAUUUAUUGUAAUUAGCUAAUAAACACUUAGAGGAUCCAAUAAAUGUUAUGGCGAA